UACCCGCUGAACUUAAGCAUAUCAAUAAGCGGAGGAAAAGAAACCAACAGGGAUUACCUUAGUAGCGGCGAGUGAAGCGGUAAGAGCUCAAAUUUGAAAUCUGGUACCUUCGGUGCCCGAGUUGUAAUUUGAAGAAAGCUGUCUUCGAUUUGGCCUUUGUCUAUGUUCCUUGGAACAGGACGUCACAGAGGGUGAGAAUCCCGUGCGAUGAGGUGUCCAUUUCUAUAUAAGACGUUUUCGAAGAGUCGAGUUGUUUGGGAAUGCAGCUCUAAGUGGGUGGUAAAUUCCAUCUAAAGCUAAAUAUUGGCGAGAGACCGAUAGCGAACAAGUACUGUGAAGGAAAGAUGAAAAGAACUUUGAAAAGAGAGUGAAAAAGUACGUGAAAUUGUUGAAAGGGAAGGGUAUUCGAUCAGACUUGGUAUUUAGUUAUCAUUGCUCCUUGUGGGUGGUGCUCUAGCUUUUUACUGGGCCAGCAUCAGUUUUGGUGGCAAGAUAAUGGCAGUUGAAUGUGGCUCCUCGGAGUGUUAUAGCUUCUGCUGAUAUUGCCUACUGGGACUGAGGUCUGCGGCUUUUGCCUAGGAUGCUGGCGUAAUGAUCAAAUACCGCCCGUCUUGAAACAUGGACCAAGGA
rnacentral:rRNA from 2 species